UAUAGACAGUUAUAUUGGUCAGCCAACAUUCGUUGUAAGGACGCCAGAUUGCGGAUGUAGUGAGCAGGCUUAGCGUGUACUAAGAAGCCAAAAGCAUUCCUGAGGCAUCCACUCUUGUAGAUUAGGACUGUACAUCAAUCUGGCUGUCUAUAU
rnacentral:other from 1 species